AGUGGCGGACGGGUGAGUAACGCGUGGGUAACCUGCCUUGUACUGGGGGAUAGCAGCUGGAAACGGCUGGUAAUACCGCAUAAGCGCACAAUGUUGCAUGACAUGGUGUGAAAAACUCCGGUGGUAUAAGAUGGACCCGCGUUGGAUUAGCUGGUUGGUGGGGUAACGGCCCACCAAGGCGACGAUCCAUAGCCGGCCUGAGAGGGUGAACGGCCACAUUGGGACUGAGACACGGCCCAGACUCCUACGGGAGGCAGCAGUGGGGAAUAUUGCACAAUGGGGGAAACCCUGAUGCAGCGACGCCGCGUGAAGGAAGAAGUAUCUCGGUAUGUAAACUUCUAUCAGCAGGGAAGAUAGUGACGGUACCUGACUAAGAAGCCCCGGCUAACUACGUGCCAGCAGCCGCGGUAAUACGUAGGGGGCAAGCGUUAUCCGGAUUUACUGGGUGUAAAGGGAGCGUAGACGGUGUGGCAAGUCAGAAGUGAAAACCCAGGGCUUAACUCUGGGACUGCUUUUGAAACUGUCAGACUAGAGUGCAGGAGAGGUAAGCGGAAUUCCUAGUGUAGCGGUGAAAUGCGUAGAUAUUAGGAGGAACAUCAGUGGCGAAG
rnacentral:rRNA from 1 species